GUGGAUACAUUUUUUUGAAAGGCAUGAUUGACGCUUGUGAAUGGCAGGCGAAAAACGAGUCCAGCAAGUUAGAAAAAAUUCCAAGUCUAGUUUUCCGUCAUCGUACAAAACCCCCUCUGCCCAGGAGUUGCUCAUCUUUAGUUCUCAGAAAGAGAGGAGUUAUUUGUACAUACUUUCUCAUCUGAGUAGUCUACAGGUCCUAGCAGACACAACGUCUCUGAUAUUCUCAGAGACCUAAAAGGACAUGGAUAUGAAGCCUCUGAUGAUUCUCCUCCUGCUAGCAGCUGUCACCACCACCGCCCCUGCAGCAGCUCAAACCACCACCGCCCCUGCAGCAGCUGUCACCACCACCACUCCCGCAGCAGCUGCCACUACCACCACUCCUGCAGCAGCUGGUACCACCACCACUCCUGCAGCAGCUGGUACCACCACAGCUUCGGCAGCAACCACUUCCGCUGCUGUCAUAUCAACUGACCCUCCAUCUUCUAGUGAAGGAACAAUGAGUCUUCAGUUCCGUCUCAACCAGACGUUCAACUCAGAUCUUUCCAACCCUUCCUCUUCAGGGUUCAAGACUCUGGCUGCCAAAGUGAUCUCUGAGGUGAACAAGGCUUUUGCUAAGACCCCAGGCUUCCGUCGUUCCAUUGUCAACUCAUUCAGGAGUGGAUCUGUGGUUACCGACAUUACCCUCGUGUUCGACAAUCAGUCUUCGGUUCCCAGCUCAAGCAACUCACAGGCAAUUCUCACCAGCAGUUCCACCUCCCUGAACAUUAUACCAGGCAGCAUCAGUGAUGGGUCAUCAACCAGCUCAGGAAGUGCUCCCCGACCCACUUCUUUCUCUCUGGCUGCCUUGCCUCUCAGUUUGGCUCUGUUAAUGGUACAGCUGCUGGCUAGCUAAUAGCCUGGGACAUAGCUGCUGUGGCUCUGCUAGCUACUAGGCUAGCUAAUAGCCUGGGGCAUAGCUGCUGUGGCUCUGCUAGCUGCUGGCUAACCAAUAGCCUGGGGCAUAGCUGCUGUGGCAUUGGUUUAACCAAUCAACAGUUUCCCAGCUCUCAUAGAUACAGCCUUAAAGCUAGAAUCCUUAGUUGCUACACCCAUUUUUUUACUUAUAAAUUCAUUAUAUCUACCCAUUGAUUCUAGAAGAAUAUAACAUAUGAAUACCUCAUGAGUUUAGAUCAACUGUCGUACCCCAUCAGAACCCACAAUAUGAGCUUGUUUUACCCCGAUGUUUCUAAACAAUGCAAACAAACACUGUACAGCUUUAAAACAUGAUUAAAACUAUAAUUCUGAUAUCAUGGAUGGUCAGUCCUGGCAUCCAUAGCUCUGUCUAUUUUAUUUUACGUGUCAAGUCAGUUAAGAACAAAUUCUUAUUUAAAAUGACGGCCUAGGAACAGUGGGUUAACUGCCUUGUAGCGGGGCAGAAUGGCAGAUUUUUGCUCGGGGAUUCGAUCUUGCCUUUUCGGUUACUAGUCCAAGACUCAUUAGAGCUGUCAAUUUUGCAUGAGGCGGCAGCCUAGUGGUUAGAGUGUAGAGGUGGCAGGUAGCCUAGUGGUUAGAGUGUAGAGGUGGCAGGUAGCCUAGUGGUUAGAGUGUAGAGGAGGUAUAACCGAUAGGUUGCUAGAUCAAAUCUUCUGAGCUGACAAGAUAAACAUCUGUCAUUCUUCCCCUGAACCAAGGCAGUUAACCUGCUGUCAUUGGAAAAAAAUAUUUUGUUCUUAAAUAAAGAGCUGUCAAAGAUACAGAAAUCCCAUGUAGCAUUGUUCGAACACUGGAAUGUGAGAUGUAAUCUACACCUCGAUUAGGUUAUAAUGAUUUUUCCAAAUUGAGCGUCAAUAUUUUCAAAAUAACCUACACACUUCCUCGUUCUGAACUUGAAAGAGAAAAAGAGAGGGAAGGAGAAUUGACAGCUGAUUAAAACCUCUUAAGGAUAGGCGGGAUGCAAAUGUCUCAACUGGUCAAUUGCCAGGGGAAAUGCAGAGCGCCAGAUUCAAAUAAAAUGCUAUAGAAUUCAAACUUUCGUUAAAUCACACAUGUAAGAUACUCAAUUAAAGCUACACUCGUUAUGAAUCCAGCCAACAUGUCAGAUUUUUAAAAAAUGCUUUUCGGCGAAAGCAUAAGAAGCUAUUAUCUGAUAGCCUUCACCGUCUACACCAGCAGUGAACAAAGGAGCUAGCAUAUUACAACACAAAAGUGUCCCCAGUUCCGAGUUGGCCUACUUCUUCAUUGCACAAAGGAAUAACCUCAAACAAAUUCCAAAGACUGGCAACAGUCGGUAGGAACUGUAAAUAGGUUCCUAUGAAAUAUCCCAUGGCAGAGACAAUAUAGGGAACAGAGGGGGGGGGGAAUUCUGAACAGUUAGUCCUCUGGGUUUUGCCUGCUACAUAAGUUCUGUUAUACUCACAGACAUGAUUCAAACAGUUUUAGAAACUUCAGAGUGUUCUCUAUCCAAAUCUAUGAAUAAUAUGCAUAUCUUAUAUUCUUGGCAUGAGUAGCGGGAAGUUGAAAUUGGGCACACUAUUUAUCCAAAAGUGAAAAUUCUGCCCCCUAGCUUUAAGAGGUUUUAAGAUCAGUUACACCUCCAACACGUUAUUUAUUUAACCAGGCUAGUUGAGAACAAGUUGCCAAACAAUAGCUGUCGUCAGUCACUGGUAAACAGCUGAUUUGAUGGAAGCUAGGCCCUUAUCUUUCACGUUACUAUUAUUUAAAAUUUAACCUCUCACAUACAUCAAUUCAUGAUGACUUGCACACAGUUUAUCCGUCAAAUUUUUAUACUGAAAAUAACUAAAAGAAACAAAAACUUACAAAUUGUACAAUUUAUUUAUUUUUUAAAUAUUUUUAUUUGAUCAUAGUUCCCUCUUUAAUUAUUAACUGCUGUAACUAUAUUUACAUUUAAAUGUGUUAUUUUGGGCACAUCACUGAAGUGUCAAAGUGACUGAGGGACUAACGGGGACCACUUCAAUGUUUUAAAACUGUUGUAGAGCCUCGGCUGGUUUGUACUUGUCUUGUUAUUAUUAAAUCUAAUAUAUUAUGUACCACUCGUAGAAUAUA
ensembl:lncRNA